UACGUAGGGUGCGAGCGUUGUCCGGAAUUAUUGGGCGUAAAGGGCUCGUAGGCGGUUUGUCGCGUCGGGAGUGAAAACCUUGGGCUUAACUCAGGGCUUGCUUUCGAUACGGGCAGACUAGAGGUAUGCAGGGGAGAACGGAAUUCCUGGUGUAGCGGUGAAAUGCGCAGAUAUCAGGAGGAACACCGGUGGCGAAGGCGGUUCUCUGGGAAUGAUCUGACGCUGAGGAGCGAAAGUGUGGGGAGCGAACAGG
rnacentral:rRNA from 1 species